rnacentral:rRNA from 1 species
AAGCACCGGCUAACUCCGUGCCAGCAGCCGCGGUAAUACGGAGGGUGCGAGCGUUAAUCGGAAUUACUGGGCGUAAAGGGUGCGUAGGUGGUUGAUUAAGUUAUCUGUGAAAUUCCUGGGCUUAACCUGGGACGGUCAGAUAAUACUGGUUGACUCGAGUAUGGGAGAGGGUAGUGGAAUUUCCGGUGUAGCGGUGAAAUGCGUAGAGAUCGGAAGGAACACCAGUGGCGAAGGCGGCUACCUGGCCUAAUACUGACACUGAGGCACGAAAGCGUGGGGAGCAAACAGGAUUAGAUACCCUGGUAGUCCACGCUGUAAACGAUGUCAACUAGCUGUUG